GACGAACGCUGGCGGCGUGCUUAACACAUGCAAGUCGAACGGAAAGGCCCUGCUGUUGUGGGGUGCUCGAAUGGCGAACGGGUGAGUAACACGUGAGUAACCUGCCCUUGACUGUGGGAUAACUUCAGGAAACUGGGGCUAAUAACGGAUAGGAGCUCCUGCUGAAUGGUGGGGGUUGGAAAGUUUCGGCGGUUGGGGAUGGACGCGCGGCUUAUCAGCUUGUUGGUGGGGUAGUGGCUUACCAAGGCUUUGGCGGGUAUCCGGCCUGAGAGGGUGACCGGCCACAUUGGGACUGAGAUACGGACCAGACUGCUACGGGAGGCAGCAGUGGGGAACAUUGUACAAUGGGCGGAAGCCUGAUGAAGCAACGCCGCGUGCGGGAUGAAGGCCUUCGGGUUGUAAACCGCUUUCGCCUGUGACGAGGCGUGAGUGACGGUAAUGGGUAAAGAAGCACCGGCUAACUACGUG
rnacentral:rRNA from 1 species